rnacentral:ncRNA from 12 species
UCUUAGCUCAGCUGGUUUAGAGCACCUCCCUUACAAGGAGGGGGUCGUAGGUUCGAAUCCUACAGAA